CCCUCAUCCUCUAUCCCUGAACCAGGUCAGACAUAGAUGGAAUCAGAGCAGGAGUUGGUGUUGAUGUGGUUUCAGGUCCACCUAUCAGAGUUUGAGAGAUUUAGGCCAUGAACCAUUAUGAAUAUAGAUGAGAACCUUUGUAAUUGCUGAAGGAGGUAGUAGUGCAGGCAAGUCCUGUGUGCAAGACCUGCUGCUCCCAGUUAGUACGGACCCCUGUGACAUUCACAGAAGUUCAGAAUGUCUGAGAUGCUCUGCAGGCUACCUUAUCUCCGUCUGCAGCUACACCUCCAGUGAUCACAAUCAGUGCUACGCUGGCACAGCCAGCCUGGCCCUGCUCUGGAUUGGAGGCAUCCUCAAGGGCUGCUUGCUGUGGAAGCAGUUUCGCUGGACCGAGAGGAGCCACUGGAAUUUUGGGUACUGGGCCUUAGGGUCACCCGGGAAUGGGAAUGGCUGCUGUGUGGCCCUGUUUGCCAGAGGGGGCCAUUGGUGAUGAGCCCCAUGCAAGUGGCAUCUGCCCUUCACCUGCUCCUUCUAAGCCAGCGGGAUGGAGACCCUCCAGAGAGAAUAUGUGAGUUCCUCUCCUUAUGAGAGCCGUGGUAUGGGCAUUGAGAUGACUGACUUGUCAAAUUAGUUCGGAAAGAUUUUUGACAACUACUACAAGAUCAUAAUGUACUUGAACAAAAACCUGUGAUAUGUGUUAUUUGUUUGUUUUUAGAUAUUGGAGAAGGGAAUAAAUUUUAGCAAGUAAAAA
ensembl:lncRNA SLED1 proteoglycan 3, pro eosinophil major basic protein 2 pseudogene